UAGCUGCAUAUUUCAAAUUGGAAGAAAAAUACAUAUUAAAAUUAUUAGAUGAAAGAAAGAUGCAAAAACCAAACAAAAAAUAUGUAACUUGACAUGUAUAGAGAUUAAACCUCAAAACGUAAUCCCGUGGACGUGUGUGGUAGUCAUGCUUUAGCUUUUGAUACUUUUUGAGAUGUCCUUCUCCUUCUUUGCUUAAUAAUUGGCUUUAAUCUACCAUAUCCCUUUUCCAUUCUUUUUUCUUGAUUGGAUCCAGAAUCUGAUCCACACCACCUAGCAAAGGAUCAAUAGUUUAAAUAAAAGUAUGCCGUUCUUUAUCACGAACGUCUAUAUACAAUGCAUGUUGUAGCUUAGUCAUCUCACAAUAAUGCACAUCCAAAGAAAAUAUUUUUCCAAUGAUUAUUUACACCAACAAAUGGAGUACAAAUUAUGCCAUUUCUAUUUGUACAAUAUGCAGUAUCAAAAAUCAUCACAUCCCCAAAACACUCAUAGUGCAAUACAUAUGAUAUCUCUCUAAAAGAAGUUGCACAAUUUUCCAUCUUCAUCAACUUGAAAAAAAUAAAAGAAGUUUGAAUCCUCUGAUUGCAAAUGCAUAAAAUGAUUUACCAAAGUUUGAGCAUCUCCACUACUAAUCAUGUUUCUCUUAUGCGCUUGUAUGAAGUUAUGAGCAUCUUGUUCAGUACAUCCUGCAUUUUCAAUUCCACCUACUUCAUUCCGAAGGUAUGGUAGCAAAAUAUUUCAAAUGCAAAAGUCUCAAUGUCAGUAGGUACAAAUUUGUAUUUAUGUACCAAAAUAAGGAGCAUUUUAUUAACAAGAAGAAAUAAAUUUUAUAUUGACAAGAAGAGUAUUUUGUCAGCAUAAUUUUGUAUUUCAUAUUGAUAUCGAUGAAUAACUUCCAAAGGUUCAGUUUUAAAGCUUUGGAAACAAAAGAUGAAUUUAGAAAGAUAUAAACUAUGAUAAUAAAAAUAAAAAAAUAAGAAGAAGAUAGAUAUAUACAAAAUGUAUAUGAAGUAUUACGUUUGGAUAGAAUGUCGUUUUCCUUUGCUUGAAUAUAAAUUUGUUGUGGCCUUUGUUGGACUAUGUUGAUCAACAAUUAGUGGUGGAAAAUUUUGUUGGAGUCUAUUCUCUAUUGUGAUAACCAAAAUUGGUAAUUAAGGAAGGAAAAUGGCUUCCACAUUUUUUCUUUCCCUCUAUUUCUCUUGUACUAUCUAUUUAGUUUUCUAUCAACAAAAAAUUCACUUA